ACAUCCAGAGAAUUUAGCAGAGAUGCUUUAGUGCCUUCGGGAACUCUGAGACAGGUGCUGCAUGGCUGUCGUCAGCUCGUGUUGUGAAAUGUUGGGUUAAGUCCCGNAACGAGCGCAACCCUUAUCCCUUUGUUGCCAGCACGUAAUGGUGGGAACUCAAAGGAGACUGCCGGUGAUAAACCGGAGGAAGGUGGGGAUGACGUCAAGUCAUCAUGGCCCUUACGAGUAGGGCUACACACGUGCUACAAUGGCGCAUACAAAGAGAAGCGACCUCGCGAGAGCAAGCGGACCUCAUAAAGUGCGUCGUAGUCCGGAUUGGAGUCUGCAACUCGACUCCAUGAAGUCGGAAUCGCUAGUAAUCGUAAAUCAGAAUGUUACGGUGAAUACGUUCCCGGGCCUUGUACACACCGCCCGUCACACCAUGGGAGUGGGUUGCAAAAGAAGUAGAUAGCUUAACCUUCGGGAGGGCGUUUACCACUUUGUGAUUCAUGACUGGGGUGAAGUCGUAACAAGGUAAGCGUAGUGCU
rnacentral:rRNA from 1 species